rnacentral:rRNA from 1 species
GAUGAACGCUGGCGGCGUGCUUAACACAUGCAAGUCGAACGAAGCAUUUAGAACAGAUUAUUUCGGUAUGAAGUUCUUUAUGACUGAGUGGCGGACGGGUGAGUAACGCGUGGGUAACCUGCCUUGUACUGGGGGAUAGCAGCUGGAAACGGCUGGUAAUACCGCAUAAGCGCACAAUGUUGCAUGACAUGGUGUGAAAAACUCCGGUGGGAUAAGAUGGACCCGCGUCUGAUUAGCUAGUUGGUGAGAUAACAGCCCACCAAGGCGACGGUCAGUAGCCGAGCUGAGGGGGUGACCGGCCACAUUGGGACUGAGACACGGCCCAGACUCCUACGGAGGCAGCAGUGGGGAAUAUUGCACAAUGGAGGAAACUCUGAUGCAGCGACGCCGCGUGAGUGAAGAAGUAAUUCGUUAUGUAAAGCUCUAUCAGCAGGGAAGAUAGUGACGGUACCUGACUAAGAAGCUCCGGCUAAAUACGUGCCAGCCGCCGCCGUAA